GAUGAACGCUGGCGGCGUGCCUAAUACAUGCCAGUCGAGCGAACAGACGAGGAGCUUGCUCCUCUGGCGUUAGCGGCGGACGGGUGAGUAACACGUGGAUAACCUACCUAUAAGACUGGGAUAACUUCGGGAAACCGGAGCUAAUACCGGAUAAUAUAUUGAACCGCAUGGUUCAAUAGUGAAAGACGGUUUUGCUGUCACUUAUAGAUGGAUCCGCACCGCAUUAGCUAGUUGGUAAGGUAACGGCUUACCAAGGCGACGAUGCGUAGCCGACCUGAGAGGGUGAUCGGCCACACUGGAACUGAGACACGGUCCAGACUCCUACGGGAGGCAGCAGUAGGGAAUCUUCCGCAAUGGGCGAAAGCCUGACGGAGCAACGCCGCGUGAGUGAUGAAGGUCUUCGGAUCGUAAAACUCUGUUAUUAGGGAAGAACAAAUGUGUAAGUAACUAUGCACGUCUUGACGGUACCUAAUCAGAAAGCCACGGCUAACUACGUG
rnacentral:rRNA from 1 species